rnacentral:snRNA from 15 species
AUACUUACCUGGUAGGGUAGAUAUCAUCAUCAGGCAGGUGGUUUUCUCAGGGUGAGGCUCGUCCCCUGCACUCCAGGUGUGCUGAUCCCUGAGAUUUCCUCAAAUUUUUUUCUGUGGACCUACUGGAGCGAGUCCAG